AUCGCUUCUCGGCCUUUUGGCUAAGAUCAAGUGUAGUAUCUGUUCUUAUCAGUUUAAUAUCUGAUACGUCCCCUACCCGGGGACCAUAUAUUAAAUUGAUUUUUGGAGCAGGGAGAUGGAAUAGGGGCUUGCUCCGUCCACUCCACGCAUCGACCCGGUAUUGCAGUACUUCCGGGAACGGUGCACCCCCC
ensembl:snRNA U2 U2 spliceosomal RNA